rnacentral:rRNA from 1 species
AGUGAACGCUGGCGGUAGGCCUAACACAUGCAAGUCGAACGGCAGCACAGGAGAGCCUGCUCUCUGGGUGGCGAGUGGCGGACGGGUGAGGAAUACAUCGGAAUCUGCCCAGUCGUGGGGGAUAACGUAGGGAAACUUACGCUAAUACCGCAUACGACCUUCGGGUGAAAGAGGGGGAUCGCAAGACCUCUCGCGAUUGGAUGAGCCGAUGUCGGAUUAGCUAGUUGGCGGGGUAAUGGCCCACCAAGGCGACGAUCCGUAGCUGGUCUGAGAGGAUGAUCAGCCACACUGGAACUGAGACACGGUCCAGACUCCUACGGGAGGCAGCAGUGGGGAAUAUUGGACAAUGGGCGCAAGCCUGAUCCAGCCAUACCGCGUGGGUGAAGAAGGCCUUCGGGUUGUAAAGCCCUUUUGUUGGGAAAGAAAUCUUUCAGGCUAAUACCCUGGGAGGAUGACGGUACCCAAAGAAUAAGCACCGGCUAACUUCGUG